GACGAACGCUGGCGGCGUGCUUAACACAUGCAAGUCGAACGGUAAGGCCCUUCGGGGUACACGAGUGGCGAACGGGUGAGUAACACGAGGGUGAUCUGCCCUGCCCUUCGGGAUAAGCCUGGGAAACUGGGUCUAAUACCGGAUAGAACCCUGGGAUGCAUGUCCUGGGGUGGAAAGCUUUUGCGGGGUGGGAUGGGGCCGCGGCCUAUCAGCUUGUUGGUGGGGUGAUGGUCUACCAAGGCGACGACGGGUAGCCGGCCUGAGAGGGUGACCGGCCACACUGGGACUGAGAUACGGCCCAGACUCCUACGGGAGGCAGCAGUGGGGAAUAUUGCACAAUGGGCGCAAGCCUGAUGCAGCGACGCCGCGUGAGGGAUGACGGCCUUCGGGUUGUAAACCUCUUUCAGCACAGACGAAGCGAAAGUGACGGUAGGUGCAGAAGAAGGACCGGCCAACUACGUGCCAGCAGCCGCCGUAA
rnacentral:rRNA from 1 species